rnacentral:rRNA from 1 species
GUAGGGAAUAUUGGGCAAUGGUCGGAAGACUGACCCAGCCAUGCCGCGUGCAGGAAGACGGCCCUCUGGGUUGUAAACUGCUUUUAUCUGGGAAGAAAAAGGCCAUGCGUGGCAAAUUGCCGGUACCAGAUGAAUAAGCACCGGCUAACUCCGUGCCAGCAGCCGCGGUAAUACGGAGGGUGCAAGCGUUGGCCGGAUUUAUUGGGUUUAAAGGGUGCGUAGGCGGCUGAUUAAGUCAGCGGUGAAAGACUCCGGUUUAACCGGAGCAGUGCCGUUGAUACUGGUUAGCUUGAGUGUUGGAGGGGUACAUGGAAUUGAUGGUAUAGCGGUGAAAUGCAUAGAUACCAUCAGGAACACCGAUAGCGAAGGCAUUGUACUGGCCAACAACUGACGCUGAUGCACGAAAGUGUGGGGAUCGAACAGGAUUAGAAACCCGUGUAGUCC